CGCCGCUCGCGGAUUGGCUGGCGCGGAUUCCAGCUGCUUUCCAAGUUGGAGGCGCCUAGUUAGGGUCGGGGGGCCCGGCCCACGCCCUCCCCGCCCAGCCGCCUCCCCGUCGACCACCCAGGGCUGGAGCGAGCCAGGCUGCCUUUCGAACUUGGGGGGCUUCUCCUCUUGUCUCCCACUGGUGCUCUGGCUGUGAAUCCAUCCAGGGGCCAGAAUGAAAAUCCGACACCAAGGCCAGCAGUACAGGCCGAGGAUGGCAUUUCUCCAAAAGGUUUGCAAGCUGCGUCCUGGGCCUGGAGACGGAGACAGUGAUCCACGGACUGCAGUGCAGGCGGCCGGCCCCAGCUCUGAGUCACAUAAGGUUGAACCAUCAAUAUAAAACAAGCAGAACCAAAGAUGGCGACCAAAAUCCAAAGCCAGAGGGUCCUGGAAAUCAGAGGGUCUUAUAGCAUAACAGGUAGUACAGGCCGUGGCUCAGGCUAGGCAUGGAACAGACUGCAGUUCUCUCCUACAAAUCAAUCUAGACUGGACGGACAGUACUCUGAAGAAGGAAAGAAAAAUGAAUCUGAUGUUACUUCUUGAAACCACAUUUUCUGAAGUCACCAUUUUUAUGUAUCUAUCAACUCAUCAUUUUUAUGUAUAUAUCAAUAUGAUUUUAUGAUCUUUUUUUUCCCUACUAAUGUGAUGAAUUCCCUUGAUUGAUUUUAGAAUAUUAAAUCACUUUUGUAUUCCUGGAAUAAAUCCUAGAUGGAUGCUUGAUUUUUUCUAAUUCCUUAGCAAAAAUGCUAAUAUUUUAUUUAGGAUUUUGCAUCUAUAUUCACAAGUGAGAAUUUUUUUCCUCUCCUGACACCAACCAAUUCUCCAUCACAAACUGAGUGUCCUACAAUUCAAUUCAAUUCUGACACUAACUACCCAGAGUUAGCAUUAGCCUCCACAGAUUUAAGGCCUCAGUCGCACAAGAUUGUCCUAAUCAGACCCCAGUUGCAAGUCCCGGGCCACCCAUACUUCUGGGCAACUGGUUAUAAUUUGGGGGUUCUUAUGACCACCUCCUGCAGGCUUGACAAUUUGCUAGAAUGAUUAGUGGAACGCAAGAAAGUGCUUAAUUAAUGUUACUGGUUUAUUACAAAGGAUACAAUUCAGGAAGAGCCAAAUGGAAGCGAUGCAUGGAGCAAGGCAAGGGAGAAUGAGCCCAGAGCUUUCCUGCCCUCUUCGGGCACGCCACUCUCCCAGCACUUUGGUGUGUUCACCAGCCUGGAAGCUCUCUGAACCCCAUCAUUUAGAGGUUUUAAUGGAAGUUUCAUUACAUAGGCAUGAUUUUUUUCUUUUGAGAUGGAGUCUUACUCUGUUACCCAGGC